UACGAAGGGGGCUAGCGUUGCUCGGAAUGACUGGGCGUAAAGGGCGCGUAGGCGGAUGGUACAGUCAGAUGUGAAAUUCCUGGGCUUAACCUGGGGGCUGCAUUUGAUACGUAUUGUCUAGAGUGAGGAAGAGGGUCGUGGAAUUCCCAGUGUAGAGGUGAAAUGCGCAGAUAUCAGGAAGAACACCCGUGGCGAAGGCGGCUCUCUGGGACGGUACUGACGCUGAGACGCGAAAGCGUGGGGAGCGAACAGG
rnacentral:rRNA from 1 species